GUGCACAUUUCAUUGACCUGCUUUCUAUUCUGUAUGUGAGCAGUGUUAUUUCUUAUGUGCUAUACAAAUAAUUGAAGGUUAAUUAGCAGUCUAACUAAGUAGUAAUACUGCCAGUCUCCUUCAGACAAAU